rnacentral:misc_RNA from 1 species
GAUGAGAACGUAGCGAAAUGCGAUAAGUAGUGUGAAUUGCAGAAUUCAGUGAAUCUUCGAAUCUUUGAACGCACAUUGCGCCCCUUGGUAUCCCGAGGGGCAUGCCUGUUCGAGCGUCAUUUCACCACUCAAGCCUGGCUUGGUGUUGGGCGACGUCCUCUUUGGGGACGCGCCUCGAAACGCUCGGCGGCGUGGCACCGGCUUUAAGCGUAGCAGAAUCUUUCGCUUUGGAAGUCGGGGCCCCGUCUGCCGGAAGACCUGCUCGCAAGGUUGACCUCGGAUCAGGCAGGGAUACCCGCUGAACUUAAGCAUAUCAAUAAGCGGAGGA